rnacentral:lncRNA from 1 species
CAGAACCGCGGCCGGGCAGGGAGAGGGCGGUCCCGUCGCUGCUCUGACCUACGCGACUUAAACUGUGAAACGAGGCCGGGGCAGCGGGGCGCGGUGCGCAGGUUUUCCCCCGCUUUCAGGAAAGGUGCAGACGCCCCGCGGGGGCGCGGAUGCCCUGCUAGGGCGUCGGCUCCGGCGCGCUCCCGCCGGGCCCCGCUCACUCUCUGUAACCGGGAGAUGUGCUGCGAACACUUCGCCUGGAUUCUGGUGUUGAGAAGCCUUUCCCCGGCCAGCCCCUGGGAUGUGCCUAGCAGCUGUCCGGCGCGCCUCUCGGGUUGCAGUCAGGCUACCGCAAACUCGUUUAUGCUGGAAAGCCUGUCUCAGUUCUUUUUAGGAUGACAAUUUAAACAGCGUCACCUGGGCCAUGGGGUACCGCCCCGCGGCGUCUGUGUGGCUGCUUGAGGGCGUGGGAUUAGAGGGAGGAAGUCCUGGUGAAUUCAGGUUCUGUUAGAGUGGACUCUUAACGUGUUGAAUAGAAACUCUGUGGCUUUGGGUACUGUAGCUGGCGAUCCGCUGCGUUUUGCCGAACCCCUUCCCUAUACAACUCCAGGCUAGACUUGACCCCGAAAGGUUGCAUGAGAUAUGAUUUUUUUUUUUUUAAACCAGAGACUGAACCGAGGGGCGCUUAACCAUUGAACCACAUCCCCAGCCCUUUGUAUGUAUGUAUUAUUUUGAGAUAUGUAUUAUUUUAAGUUGUCAAGGGCCUCAGUAAGUUGCUGAGACUGGCUUUGAACUUGCCAUCCUCCUGCCUCAGCCUCCUGAAUUGCUGGGAUUACAGGUUGCGUGAUAUUUGGAGGGCGCAGGAGCAGCAGCCGUGGUCACACAGGAAGGCCAUCAUGGUUAGAGAUAGGGAGAGGCAUAGAAUAUGUGGUGUGCUCCUUGAUCUGCAGCCACCUCUCCCCUCUCUGUGGUCCUGCUGUCCACUAGCAGUGUGGCCACCAGCAUCCUUUACUGCAAACUCAGGCAGGCACAGAUGUCCUCACCAGGCCCCAUGAUGGUCUUUCCUCCAGAGUUGGACAUGCCCCAAUCCCUGUGUCCCUGCAAUUGCUUCCAACCUGCUUCCUGCUUCAGGAGGGCUGCUUAGGGACUGGCCCCACAUUCUCCAACUUCUAGCUUCCUGUUUUCCUAUCCUGCCACCCUCAUGAUGUCCAAUUCCUGUAAUAAAUGUCUAAUGUCAGAGUGCUUAAAAGGGAUUUCUCUCUGAAAUAGGCAAGAAGAGUGACCCAAACUUGCCUAAACCAAAAAUGAAACAUUGACUCCCAUCCCUGAGAUGUCCAGGGUUGUGGCUUCAAGCAUGGCUC